GAUGAACGCUGGCGGCGUGCCUAGUACAUGCCAGUCGAGCGAACGGACGAGAAGCUUGCUUCUCUGAUGUUAGCGGCGGACGGGUGAGUAACACGUGGAUAACCUACCUAUAAGACUGGGAUAACUUCGGGAAACCGGAGCUAAUACCGGAUAAUAUUUUGAACCGCAUGGUUCAAAAGUGAAAGACGGUCUUGCUGUCACUUAUAGAUGGAUCCGCGCUGCAUUAGCUAGUUGGUAAGGUAACGGCUUACCAAGGCAACGAUGCAUAGCCGACCUGAGAGGGUGAUCGGCCACACUGGAACUGAGACACGGUCCAGACUCCUACGGGAGGCAGCAGUAGGGAAUCUUCCGCAAUGGGCGAAAGCCUGACGGAGCAACGCCGCGUGAGUGAUGAAGGUCUUCGGAUCGUAAAACUCUGUUAUUAGGGAAGAACAUAUGUGUAAGUAACUGUGCACAUCUUGACGGUACCUAAUCAGAAAGCCACGGCUAACUACGUG
rnacentral:rRNA from 1 species